UGUCCCGUGGCCCAGUGGUAGGGCGACCGACUGUUAAUCGGAAGGGCGCUGGUUCGAGUCCAGCCGGGACAGCCA
rnacentral:tRNA from 1 species